rnacentral:rRNA from 1 species
AACGCUGGCGGCGUGCCUAAUACAUGCAAGUCGAACGGUCUUUCUAUGGAAGCUUGCUUCCACUGAGAAGAUAGUGGCGAACGGGUGAGUAACACGUGGGUAACCUGCCCAUAAGAGGGGGAUAACAUCCGGAAACGGGUGCUAAUACCGCAUAGUUUUCUUGAUCGCAUGAUUGAGAAAGGAAAGACGGCCUUUGUGCUGUCGCUUAUGGAUGGACCCGCGGCGUAUUAGUUAGUUGGUGAGGUAACGGCUCACCAAGACGAUGAUACGUAGCCGACCUGAGAGGGUGAUCGGCCACAUUGGGACUGAGACACGGCCCAAACUCCUACGGGAGGCAGCAGUAGGGAAUCUUCCGCAAUGGACGAAAGUCUGACGGAGCAACGCCGCGUGAGUGAAGAAGGUUUUUCCGGAUCGUAAAACUCUGUUGUCAGAGAAGAACAAGUUGGAGAGUAACUGCUCCAGCCUUGACGGUAUCUGACCAGAAAGCCACGGCUAACUACGUGCCAGCAGCAGC